GCCAUGAGGGCGGGAACCCUCGUACGCGGAAGUUCAUGAGGGCGGGACCCUCGUACGCGGAAGGUCAUGAGGGCGGGACCCUCGUACGCGGAAGUUCAUGCGGGCGGGACCCUCGUACGUGGAAGGUCAUGAGGGCGGGACCCUCGUACGUGGAAGGUCAUGAGGGCGGAACCCUGGUACAUGAAAUUCGUUCUCUUAUUUAAGAGACAAAGAACGCCCUUGUUUUUUCCACCACGUGAUGGCGCAGACAGAAGACAACCAGCAUCUAUGAACCAGGAAGCCCCCACCAGGCACUGAAUCUGCCCCUGCGUGGAUCUUAGACUUGCAGACUCCAGAACUAACCUUACAAUGUCUCUUCUCCAUUAAGAAAACCUACUUCAACAUCUCCAUUGGUUCUCAACAUAGAGGUCCAAAUUUUGGUCUGGAGCCAGAGACAAUAUAGGAUGAAGUUUGAUUUGUUCCAAAACCCACAGAAAUCUCUAAAAUGGAAGAAUUUUCUUAGAACCAAAAGGCAUGGAAUUGAUGACAUGAAACUGUUCUCUCUCCUGCCACCAUUUGAAGAAGGGUGUGUUUGCU
rnacentral:lncRNA from 1 species